GACAGAGGGUGCAAACGUUGUUCGGAAUUACUGGGCGUAAAGCGCGUGUAGGCGGCUAAGUAAGUCGGGCGUGAAAUCCCACGGCUCAACCGUGGAAGUGCACUCGAAACUGCAUAGCUAGAGUCCUGGAGAGGAAGGUGGAAUGCUUGGUGUAGAGGUGAAAUUCGUAGAUAUCAAGCGGAACACCGGUGGCGAAGGCGGCUCACUGGCCCGUUUCUGACGCUCAGGCGCGACAGCGUGGGGAUCAAACAGG
rnacentral:rRNA from 1 species